rnacentral:rRNA from 1 species
ACUGAGGAAUGGCACGGGAAACUGCGGGGCUUGAGUUCGGGAGAGGGAAGUGGAAUUCCGGGUGUAGCGGUGAAAUGCGUAGAUAUCCGGAGGAACACCGGUGGCGAAGGCGGCUUCCUGGACCGACACUGACGCUGAGGCGCGAAAGCUAGGGGAGCAAACGGGAUUAGAUACCCCGGUAGUCCUAGCUGUAAACGUUGGGCACUAGGUGUUGUGGGUAUUGACCCCUGCAGUGCCGAAGCUAACGCAUUAAGUGCCCCGCCUGGGGAGUACGGUCGCAAGAUUAAAACUCAAAGGAAUUGACGGGGGGCCCGCACAAGCGGUGGAGUAUGUGGUUCAAUUCGACGCAACGCGAAGAACCUUACCUGGGUUUGACAUCCCGGGAACCCCGUAGAAACACGGGGGUGCCUCUUUGAGGAACCCGGUGACAGGUGCUG